rnacentral:misc_RNA from 1 species
UUAUUGAAGAUGUGCGCUUAAUUGCGCUGCUUCUUUAAAGUGUCGCAGUAGAAGUAAUCUUGCUUGAAUCUCAGUCAACGUUUACACACAUUGGAGUUUUUUACUUUAACUUAAUUCUUUCUGCUUUGAAUCGAAAGGUUCAAGGCAAAAAACAAACACAAACAAUUUUAUUUUAUUAUAAUUUUUUAAACUAAACCAAAAUUCCUAACGGAAAUUUUAAAAUAAUUUAAAACUUUCAACAACGGAUCUCUUGGUUCUCGCAUCGAU